UACGGAGGGGGCUAGCGUUGUUCGGAAUUACUGGGCGUAAAGGGCGCGUAGGCGGCGCGAUAAGUUGGGCGUGAAAGGCCCGGGCUCAACCCGGGGACUGCGCUUGAUACUGUCGCGCUGUGAGUCCGGGAGAGGAUGGCGGAAUUCCCAGUGUAGAGGUGAAAUUCGUAGAUAUUGGGAAGAACACCGGUGGCGAAGGCGGCCAUCUGGACCGGCACUGACGCUGAGGCGCGAAAGCCAGGGGAGCAAACGGG
rnacentral:rRNA from 1 species